UACGUAGGGGGCAAGCGUUGUCCGGAUUUAUUGGGGCGUAAAGAGCGUGUAGGCGGCCAUACAGGUCCGUUGUGAAAACUGGAGGCUUAACCUCCAGACGUCGAUGGAAACCGUAUGGCUAGAGUCCGGAAGAGGAGAGUGGAAUUCCUGGUGUAGCGGUGAAAUGCGCAGAUAUCAGGAAGAACACCCGUGGCGAAGGCGGCUCUCUGGGACGGUACUGACGCUGAGACGCGAAAGCGUGGGGAGCGAACAGG
rnacentral:rRNA from 1 species